GCAAACUUGGUCAUUUAGAGGAAGUAAAAGUCGUAACAAGGUCAUCGUAGGUGAACCUGCGGUGGGAUCAUCAAUAAUCUAACAAACAACCACUUCAAGGUGUGAAUUUGUGCUUGAUUUUUAAGAAGAGUGCGUUUCCUUUGGGAGCGUCUUUUCUGAUAAAUUUCUAUCUGCUUGGUCAGUUUUGGCCAGGCAGGUGGGGAUAAAACCUGCACUUUACAGUGUAUUUUUAUGGCCAACCUUUAAAUUUCUGAUACUGGAUUUGGAGCUUUUCAAGCGACAAGCCACUGGAAAAAAACUUGUAAUUCUCUAUCUAGCUGUAAUGGCAAGAUAAAUAAUUCAUACAAAACUAUUAAUGGUGGAUCACUUGGCUCUCGCAUCGAUGAAGAACGCAGC
rnacentral:misc_RNA from 1 species